UUUCGCAAUGCCCGAAAGGGUAACGAAGCGACGCCGCGUGAGUGAGGAAGGCCUUCGGGUUGUAAAGCUCUGUCAGGAGUUAAGAAAUAUAAGUGUGUUAAUACCACAUUUAUUUGACGAAGGCUCCAAAGGAAGCCACGGCUAACUCUGUGCCAGCAGCCGCGGUAAUACAGAGGUGGCAAGCGUUGUUCGGAAUUAUUGGGCGUAAAGAGCACGUAGGUGGGUUUGUAAGUCAGAUGUGAAAGCCUUCUGUUCAACGGAAGAAUUGCAUCUGAAACUGCGAGUCUUGAGUGUAGGAGGGGAGAAUGGAACUUCUGGUGGAGCGGUGAAAUGCGUAGAUAUCAGAAGGAACGCCGGCGGCGAAAGCGAUUCUCUGGCCUAUUACUGACACUCAGUGUGCGAAAGCUAGGGGAGCAAACGGGAUUAGAUACCCCGGUAGUCCUAGCUGUAAACGAUGGGCACUAAGUAGAGGGGUUUUA
rnacentral:rRNA from 1 species